UCUAAAUCUUGAAGAUACUGGGCUAGAAAGGAACGUUUGUGUAGCAGCUGUCUGUGGUUUGGGAGGCGUUGGCAAAACAAGUCUUGUCACUGAGUAUGCUUACAGGAUGGAGGAGUAUUACCAAGGUGGUGUUUGCUGGUUCUCGGCAGAAGAUGAUGCAUUGUUUGAAAAGUCUGUCAAUGACACUGCUUUGAAACUUGAUGCCUUACUUGGGACAUUCGAUUUGACUUUGACAAAUACUCUCAUACAAAUUGGCAAGACAAGUAAACCAUGUUUAAUCGUUUUGGACUGCUUGGAUCAACUUAAUCUCUCUCCCAACGUCUUGAAGUUUCUUUCGCUCGUUUCAAGACAAAGUGUCUCAGCAGCUGUUGUUGUGAUGACCAGAAGAAAUGAAAAUAAGCUUGUAGAUGAGAUUUCAAAUCUUCAUAAAGAUCGUUGUCUUAGUUUGACAUGUCUAGAAGAAGAAGAGGCGAAGCAGUUUGUGUUUCGCAGGACCGGGUUGACUUGCGAUGACAACACGAACAGUGUCGCCGAAAGUCUAGUUAAUGAGCUGGGAAGAUUGCCACUCGCUCUAGAGCAGGCAGGAGCUUAUAUUAAAGCACUUCGUUGCGACUUAUCUGACUACCUUGAGC